rnacentral:rRNA from 1 species
ACGGGAGGCAGCAGUGGGGAAUAUUGCACAAUGGGCGAAAGCCUGAUGCAGCGACGCCGCGUGAGCGAAGAAGUAUUUCGGUAUGUAAAGCUCUAUCAGCAGGGAAGAUAAUGACGGUACCUGGCUAAGAAGCACCGGCUAAAUACGUGCCAGCAGCCGCGGUAAUACGUAUGGUGCAAGCGUUAUCCGGAUUUACUGGGUGUAAAGGGAGCGUAGGCGGUUUUACAAGUCUGAUGUGAAAGCCCGGGGCUCAACUCCGGUAUUGCAUUGGAAACUGUAGAACUAGAGUGUCGGAGGGGUAAGUGGAAUUCCUAGUGUAGCGGUGAAAUGCGUAGAUAUUAGGAGGAACACCAGUGGCGAAGGCGGCUUACUGGACGAUUACUGACGCCGAGGCUCGAAAGCGUGGGGAGCAAACAGGAUUAGAUACCCUGGUA